rnacentral:rRNA from 1 species
CGCCUUGCCAGCCCGCUCAGAAACUUAAGGAAUUGACGGGGCCCGCACAAGCGGUGGAGCAUGUGGUUAAUUCGAUGAUACGCGAGGAACCUUACCUGGGCUCAAAUGUAUGUUGACGUAUUCUGAAAGGGAUACUUCUUCGGACAAUAUACAAGGUGCUGCAUGGUUGUCGUCAGCUCGUGCCGUGAGGUGUCGGGUUAAGUCCCAUAACGAGCGCAACCCCUAUCAUUAGUUGCCAUCAGGUCAAGCUGGGGACUCUAAUGAAACUGCCUACGCAAGUAGUGAGGAAGGUGGGGAUGACGUCAAGUCAUCAUGGCCCUUACGGCCUGGGCUACACACGUGCUACAAUGGUCGGUACAAAGGGUUGCCAAGCCGCGAGGUGGAGCUAAUCCCAUAAAACCGAUCGUAGUCCGGAUCGCAGUCUGCAACUCGACUGCGUGAAGUCGGAAUCGCUAGUAAUCGUGAAUCAGAAUGUCACGGUGAAUACGUUCCCGGGCCUU